rnacentral:rRNA from 1 species
UACAGAGGUCUCAAGCGUUGUUCGGAAUCAUUGGGCGUAAAGGGUGCGUAGGCGGCGCGGUAAGUCGGGUGUGAAAUCUCGGAGCUUAACUCCGAAACUGCAUUCGAUACUGCCGUACUUGAGGACUGGAGAGGAGACUGGAAUUUACGGUGUAGCGGUGAAAUGCGUAGAUAUCGUAAGGAAGACCAGUGGCGAAGGCGGGUCUCUGGACAGUUCCUGACGCUGAGGCACGAAGGUCAGGGGAGCAAACGGG